GAUGAAGAACGCAGCGAAAUGCGAUAAGUAAUGUGAAUUGCAGAAUUCAGUGAAUCAUCGAAUCUUUGAACGCACAUUGCGCCCGCCAGUAUUCUGGCGGGCAUGCCUGUCUGAGCGUCAUUUCAACCCUCAUGCCCCUAGGGCGUGGUGUUGGGGAUCGGCCAAAGCCCGCGAGGGACGGCCGGCCCCUAAAUCUAGCGGCGGACCCGUCGUGGCCUCCUCUGCGAAGUAGUGAUAUUCCGCAUCGGAGAGCGAUGAGCCCCUGCCGUUAAACCCCCAACUUUCCAAGGUUGACCUCAGAUCAGGUAGGAAUACCCGCUGAACUUAAGCAUAUCAAUAAGCGGAGGA
rnacentral:misc_RNA from 1 species